AUUGAACGCUGGCGGCAUGCCUUACACAUGCAAGUUGAACGGUAACAGGUCUUCGGAUGCUGACGAGUGGCGAACGGGUGAGUAAUACAUCGGAACGUGCCUAGUAGUGGGGGAUAACUACUCGAAAGAGUGGCUAAUACCGCAUGAGAUCUACGGAUGAAAGCAGGGGAUCGCAAGACCUUGUGCUACUAGAGCGGCCGAUGGCAGAUUAGGUAGUUGGUAGGAUAAAAGCUUACCAAGCCGACGAUCCGUAGCUGGUCUGAGAGGACGAUCAGCCACACUGGGACUGAGACACGGCCCAGACUCCUACGGGAGGCAGCAGUGGGGAAUUUUGGACAAUGGGCGCAAGCCUGAUCCAGCAAUGCCGCGUGCAGGAUGAAGGCCUUCGGGUUGUAAACUGCUUUUGUACGGAACGAAAAGCCCUGGGUUAAUACCCUGGGGUCAUGACGGUACCGUAAGAAUAAGCACCGGCUAACUACGUGCCAGCCGCCGCAGUAACAC
rnacentral:rRNA from 1 species